GCUAAACGCGAAGAACCUUACCCAGGCUUGACAUGCAGUAGACAGCAUCAGAAAUGAUGUCUUCCUUCGGGACUGCUGCACAGGUGCUGCAUGGCUGUCGUCAGCUCGUGCCGUGAGAUGUUGGGUUAAGUCCCGCAACGAGCGCAACCCUUGCCUUCAGUUGCCAUCGGGUAGGGCCGGGCACUCUGAAGGAACUGCCGGUGACAAGCCGGAGGAAGGUGGGGAUGACGUCAAGUCCUCAUGGCCCUUAUGGGCUGGGCUACACACGUGCUACAAUGGCGGUGACAGUGGGCAGCGAAGCAGCGAUGCGGAGCUAAUCCUCAAAAGCCGUCUCAGUUCGGAUCGCGGGCUGCAACUCGCCCGCGUGAAGGUGGAAUCGCUAGUAAUCGCGGAUCAGCAUGCCGCGGUAAAUACGUUCCCGGGUCUUGUACACACCG
rnacentral:rRNA from 1 species